AUGUUACUAUUGAAUCAGAAACAUCUAAACCAGCUCUGGGUGAUAAUUCAGUGGGCUGUGAACCAACACUGCAUGGAAACAGCACGAACAUGAACACACAAGAGAAAACAGUGCUCGGUUUGGGAACGGCUUUGGGUUUGUGUGCACUUCUGAUUUUCUGUCUCGUUUAUUUCAUACUGAGGAGAAGAAAAUGGGAUAAAAGUAAGUGUUUCUGUGAUCAGAUAAAAAUUCCAGUGACUUUUAUUCCUAUCAAAGACACUAAUGUGUGUUUCUGUAUUAAUAGUAAACGCUUCUGUCGAAAAUUCUCCAGGAAUGAAUCAGGAAUCUGAAGCUGAAACACUGAAUUAUGCAGCUGUGCAUUUCUCUAAGAGGAAACCCAAAGCUGAAACAAAGAAAUCUGGUUCAUCAGAUGAGUGUGUGUACGCUGAUGUGAAUAAAACUGCACGCUGUAACAUAAAUGAUUCAUAAUAAAUGGAGAAACACACGGCAGAA